rnacentral:rRNA from 1 species
CGCGUCCUACGGGAGGCAGCAGUGGGGGAUAUUGCACAAUGGGGGAAACCCUGAUGCAGCGACGCCGCGUGGGCGAAGAAGUAUUUCGGUAUGUAAAGCCCUAUCAGCAGGGAAGAAGAAAUGACGGUACCUGAGUAAGAAGCACCGGCUAAACACGUGCCAGCAGCCGCGGUAAUACGUAUGGUGCAAGCGUUAUCCGGAUUUACUGGGUGUAAAGGGAGCGCAGGCGGCACGGCAAGCCUGAUGUGAAAGCCCGCGGCCCAACCGCGGGACUGCAUUGGGAACUACCGGGAUGGAGUGACGGG